rnacentral:lncRNA from 1 species
CGAACCCACAAUAUCUUCCUUCGCAGCAGAAUGCUAACAUGAGACCGCCUCAAUCACAGGGGUUUGCCGGUUCAGUUGGGAACCAGCAAUAUAUACCUUCCCAGCAGAGUGCUAACAUGAGACCACCUCAAUCACAGGGGUUUGCAAGUUCUGUUGGGAACCAGCAAUAUCUACCUUCCCAGCAGAGUGCUAACAUGAGACCACCUCAAUCACAGGGGUUCCCAGGUUUUGUUGCAAACCAGCAAUAUCCACCUUCCCAGCAGAGUCCUACCAUGAGACUACCUCAAUCACAGGGGUUCCCGGGUUCUGUUGCAAACCAGCAAUAUCCAUCUUCCCAGCAGAGUCCUAUCAUGAGACCACCUCAAUCACAGGGGUUAGCCGGUUCUGUUCCAAACCAGCAAUAUCUUCCUUCCCAGCAGAGUCCGACCAUGAGACCAACUCAAUCCAUGCCUGCUGGUAGUGCCCCUGGUCCACAACAAUUCAUGCCUGCUGGUAACACUCCCCGUCCACAACAAUCAUUGCCCGCUGGCACAUCCCCUCAUCCACAACAGGGCUUUGCAGGUCCCAAUCUCUCAAAUGCUAGCAUCUCAAAUGAUUGGAAUGGUGGAAGGACUGGUAUGGCUCCUUCUAGGCCUGCAGGAAUCACUCCAUCAGUUGCCUUAUCAACACCAACAUCACCAUCUCCGGUCUCACCAAUGUCACAGCCAACAGCUGUUACCACUAAAGCAUUGGCUGUUUCUGGAAAUGGGUACCCUUCAAAUUCAGUUUUGGACGAAGAUUUAUUCUCUACUGCUGCAUCCACACCGAAACAAGACCCUACUCGACAGAAUUAUAAUGUUAGCAG